AGACAUUGACUUCCAACUUUCCUCCGGCUCUUACAGGUUAUAUUUCCUGUCACCCACCAGGGAGGAUCAUCUCUCAUGAAAACUUUCAAAUUUGAUUUUGAAAAUGAUUCAGAAAAAUUGAAGCCAUAUUAUCUCCCCAUGUAGGGAAGAGUAUGCUCUGGAGAAUACAAUAAUCCACAGAAAAUGGACUGAGCUAACAUUUGGGUUCUCAUGUUACCAAAAUCCUCUUGAGAUGAACAGUCAGGAGGCGAACAAUGAAGGGGCAGCGAAGGAGGCUAGUGCUACCAGGGUUAUCGCACAACCUCAGAUACUGGACAAGUUGAAGGAUGCACAAUCGCUUCUGGAUGACGUUCAGAAAGGCCGGAAUGAUGAUUUGGAUGAGAAAAGCCUGCCUAUUCUUUCCAGGGUGUGUGACCAUUCCCCUGACUGGCCCGUCCAAUGGUUCCAAGAUGAAUGAUUAGAAACCUGCCUUACACAAUGGAUACACUUGGCGCCCCACCACACCUAAAGCCACACUUUGAAGGAUCUGCCAAGCUCACUUUUAAUCAUGAGAAAGAAAUUACCCACAUGGAGUCAGCAGAAAAUGAGAAAGUGGAGCUCGUGCUGCGAGUAAUCCUGCAAGUGCCAAGGGGCUAGUUGAGGAAUGGCUUCAUGAGGAGGCAUAGUCUUACUUCCUUUUAUGGAAGGCAUAUUCCCUUCUGAAUCUUCUGGCUAACUGAGCAGAGCUCAGUAUCACCUUACGACAAGAGGAACACUGGCAGUUCUCCCAUUUAUCUGUUUCUUCAAAAGUAGAAAGCUACAUUUCCUACUCCUACAGAAA